AAAUUGAAGAGUUUGAUCAUGGCUCAGAUUGAACGCUGGCGGCAGGCCUAACACAUGCAAGUCGAACGGUAACAGGAAGAAGCUUGCUUCUUUGCUGACGAGUGGCGGACGGGUGAGUAAUGUCUGGGAAACUGCCUGAUGGAGGGGGAUAACUACUGGAAACGGUAGCUAAUACCGCAUAACGUCGCAAGACCAAAGAGGGGGACCUUCGGGCCUCUUGCCAUCGGAUGUGCCCAGAUGGGAUUAGCUAGUAGGUGGGGUAACGGCUCACCUAGGCGACGAUCCCUAGCUGGUCUGAGAGGAUGACCAGCCACACUGGAACUGAGACACGGUCCAGACUCCUACGGGAGGCAGCAGUGGGGAAUAUUGCACAAUGGGCGCAAGCCUGAUGCAGCCAUGCCGCGUGUAUGAAGAAGGCCUUCGGGUUGUAAAAGUACUUUCAGCGGGGAGGAAGGGAGUAAAGUUAAUACCUUUGCUCAUUGACGUUACCCGCAGAAGAAGCACCGGCUAACUCCGUGCCAGCAGCCGCGGUAAUACGGAGGGUGCAAGCGUUAAUCGGAAUUACUGGGCGUAAAGCGCACGCAGGCGGUUUGUUAAGUCAGAUGUGAAAUCCCCGGGCUCAACCUGGGAACUGCAUCUGAUACUGGCAAGCUUGAGUCUCGUAGAGGGGGGUAGAAUUCCAGGUGUAGCGGUGAAAUGCGUAGAGAUCUGGAGGAAUACCGGUGGCGAAGGCGGCCCCCUGGACGAAGACUUGACGCUCAGGUGCGAAAGCGUGGGGAGCAAACAGGAUUAGAUACCUGGUAGUCCACGCCGUAAACGAUGUCGACUUGGAGGUUGUGCCCUUGAGGCGUGGCUUCCGGAGCUAACGCGUUAAGUCGACCGCACCGGGGAGUACGGCCGCAAGGUUAAAACUCAAAUGAAUUGACGGGGGCCCGCACAAGCGGUGGAGCAUGUGGUUUAAUUCGAUGCAACGCGAAGAACCUUACCUGGUCUUGACAUCCACGGAAGUUUUCAGAGAUGAGAAUGUGCCUUCGGGAACCGUGAGACAGGUGCUGCAUGGCUGUCGUCAGCUCGUGUUGUGAAAUGUUGGGUUAAGUCCCGCAACGAGCGCAACCCUUAUCCUUUGUUGCCAGCGGUCCGGCCGGGAACUCAAAGGAGACUGCCAGUGAUAAACUGGAGGAAGGUGGGGAUGACGUCAAGUCAUCAUGGCCCUUACGACCAGGGCUACACACGUGCUACAAUGGCGCAUACAAAGAGAAGCGACCUCGCGAGAGCAAGCGGACCUCAUAAAGUGCGUCGUAGUCCGGAUUGGAGUCUGCAACUCGACUCCAUGAAGUCGGAAUCGCUAGUAAUCGUGGAUCAGAAUGCCACGGUGAAUACGUUCCCGGGCCUUGUACACACCGCCCGUCACACCAUGGGAGUGAGUUGCAAAAGAAGUAGGUAGCUUAACCUUCGGGAGGGCGCUUACCACUUUGUGAUUCAUGACUGGGGUGAAGUCGUAACAAGGUAACCGUAGGGGAACCUGCGGUUGGAUCACCUCCUUA
rnacentral:rRNA from 1 species